rnacentral:rRNA from 1 species
UAAGCAUAUCAAUAAGCGGAGGAAAAGAAACCAACAGGGAUUGCCUCAGUAACGGCGAGUGAAGCGGCAACAGCUCAAAUUUGAAAUCUGGCCCCCUCGGGGUCCGAGUUGUAAUUUGGAGAAGAUGCUUCGGGUGCGGCUCCGGUCUAAGUUCCUUGGAACAGGACGUCACAGAGGGUGAGAAUCCCGUACGUGCCCGGUGGUCGCCCCCGUGUGAAGCUCUUUCGACGAGUCGAGUUGUUUGGGAAUGCAGCUCUAAAUGGGUGGUAUAUUUCAUCUAAAGCUAAAUAUUGGCCAGAGACCGAUAGCGCACAAGUAGAGUGAUCGAAAGAUGAAAAGCACUUUGGAAAGAGAGUUAAACAGUACGUGAAAUUGUUGAAAGGGAAGCGCUUGCAACCAGACUUGCGCGCGGCCGAUCAUCCGGUGUUCGCACCGGUGCACUCGACCGCGCGCAGGCCAGCAUCGGUUUGGGUGGCUGGACAAAGGCCUCGGGAAUGUGGCUCCCCUCGGGGAGUGUUAUAGCCCGAGGUGCAAUGCAGCCUAUCCGGACCGAGGACCGCGCUUCGGCUAGGA